AAUAGAUGAUUCUCAAAUAGCUGGCCAUUCUCAAAGAAACGAAGGGGUCAUAUAUUAAGCUAUUUCAAAUAAUAGUGGAAUAUAGCACAUUAAAUGGUAUCCAUUUUUUGCCAGAGGAGCAAUAUCUGCUCAAUUUGUAUUUCCGAAUAUUUUAAUAAAGGCCGUUUGACAUAAAGUUCAGCAUUUAGUCUUGGUAAAACAAUAUAAAGAAAGAAGAGUCUACUGUGUACACUAUUGUUCGAAGGAUGAGCAUACUUCCUCUAUGCAAGAGAGAAGACAUUGAAGUAGUCGGUGAUUAUUGCUUAGAUUUAGCAGGUGCCAUGAUAACAAGGACCACGCAUUAACAAUCAUCUAGAGGGAUAUCACCAUUCCCUUAAGCAAUUGAAAAAAAACCCCACCCCCACAUAUAUUUAUUAAUUUGGAUUUUAAAAGAUAAUCAACACCUAACUCAACUUAAAGUAAUACAAAUUAAUAAUGGAGAAAUCGUGACCGAGAGAAACAAAAAAUAUGUUAUAAUUAAUAAAAAA